rnacentral:rRNA from 1 species
GUGUCAGCAGCCGCGGUAAGACGUAGGGUGCGAGCGUUGUCCGGAUUUAUUGGGCGUAAAGAGCUCGUAGGCGGCUCGUCGCGUCGACCGUGAAAACCCGCGGCUUAACUGCGGGCUUGCGGUUGAUACGGGCGGGCUAGAGUUCGGUAGGGGAGACUGGAAUUCCUGGUGUAGCGGUGAAAUGCGCAGAUAUCAGGAGGAACACCGGUGGCGAAGGCGGGUCUCUGGGCCGAUACUGACGCUGAGGAGCGAAAGCGUGGGGAGCGAACAGGAUUAGAAACCCCCGUAGUCC